UACAGAGGUCUCAAGCGUUGUUCGGAUUCAUUGGGCGUAAAGGGUGUGUAGGUGGCGCCGUAAGUCGGGUGUGAAAUUUCGGAGCUUAACUCCGAAACUGCAUUCGAUACUGCGGUGCUUGAGGACUGGAGAGGAGACUGGAAAUUCAUGGUGUAGCAGUGAAAUGCGUAGAGAUCAUGAGGAAGACCAGUGGCGAAGGCGGGUCUCUGGACAGUUCCUGACACUGAGGCACGAAGGCCAGGGGAGCAAACAGG
rnacentral:rRNA from 1 species